rnacentral:lncRNA from 1 species
CAUCAUUGACCAGUGUUUUACUCUUGCAGCACCUCUCAACAGCUGAAGUAGUUAGAUGUGUUUAGUACUUUCCUGCCUAUUCAUUUUGUUUCUGCCACUUUUAAGUCCCACGAAGGAGGCUCUGCCUGUCUGAUUCACCAUUCUGUCCCCAGUGACUAGAAUAUAACUGGCCCAGGUGCUCAAUCCACCUGCUGAAUGAAUAUUUGGGGCAAAAUGUGAUCUAGCCACAGCAUUAGAGUGAGACUAAGCUGCAAUGAUGGGUUUGUGUCCUGGCUCCAUCUCUUCCUAGCUGUGUGACCUCAGCACAGUUCCCAGCCAGUCCUGUGUGGAAAGAGGACAGAAGAGGAAUUGAGGAAUGCAGAUUGUUGUGGGUGGUGACGGAGGCAAGGUGAGUCUCUUACAAAGUUCGACUUUUGCUUUUGCUUUUUGCAGUGGUUAGGUACUUGUUAGUUCCUUUACUCAAUCAACAACAAUUGCUGAGGGUUUGGUGGGCAGGUCCUGUUUAGGAGAGAAGCAGCCCCUAGAAGUGGCUUUCCUUUCCCCCUCCUCUUCCCCUCAUCUGGACCAAUGCACCCGGCUCAAGUGCAGCUUUAGGCUUUGGUUUCCAUGUGUAGUGACCUCUCAGUUCCUUCUCAAAAUAAGAGCUACUGGAUUAGAAACACAGCCAGCUCCCAAUGCAAGAUAAAUCCUAAUCGACACUGAGAAACUGUGACCUUGUUAACUGUAAGACUACCAGGCAAAUGUUCAGGUAUGGAUGUGAGCAAGAGAGGAACAGGAUGCCUCUGCCUGCAAGUUGCUGAGCUAAGAUGUAGAUCUACAUUGAAGACUCGUUUGGUGAAUGGCUGCUGCACACCUGGUGGUGUACACCUAGACUUUCACUUUUUAAUUUCAGAAAUUUAAUGAUAUUCUUCUGAGUUCAGUAGGCACCAGUAUUCCCUGUAACUCCAAAUCCUGCUUAUCCUUGGAACUCAUGUCCUAUCCCUGUGUCCUCCCAGAUGCAGGUAAGUUGUCCCCUUGUAUUCCCUCAGCACCAUAGUGUCACCUUUCCUGUGAUCAAAAGGCAGCCUGGAAUUGCCUCUGCAGUUACGUGACACUGAUGCUUUUCCAUACAGCUGACAAAUUCUCCUGCAGACCUGAGUGCCUUACCACCUGGUACAAACUCCCUUCCAGAUCCUUCUGUCCCCACCCUCCUCAUCCUAUGAGACUGUUAUUAUUUUAUUAUUUACCCCAUUUUAAAGUGAUAAAUUUGAGAUAUAGAGGAUUAAGAAACAUGUUCAAUUUAUUUUUAUUUUUAUUUUUUUAGUGUCAGAGGCAAGAUUUGCACCUGGGUGUCUAUGGCUAUCACACUUUCUUUCCAUUCUCUGACCCUGAUUCCAAAAUAAGGAAAAGAAAACAUUUAAUUAGUUGUUUAAAACAACAUGCAAACAUGACCUUUGCAUUACUCCUAAUCUCUCCAUGAUGGGAUGUUUACAAAGAACGUUUUCGACUUUCCAGGAAGAAUUCAGGGACCCUGGAGGAGACACUGGCUCCGUUCAUCCCCCAACACAGCGUGCCCACAUCUGCCUCCAGUGGGGAGAAGCAAGAACGAGGGAGGAGAAUGCACAGAGGCAGAGGCAGGCAGGACCCUGAAACUCGCCUUAGCUGUUGGCAGUUCUAGAACACGACAUCCCCUGUUCACCUGCUAGAGGAACAGAAGGGGGACCUGACAUCACCUCCAGAGCCACCUAACAUGCAGCGGGCACCUCUUAUUUGCCUGUUAGCCCCUCAUUCUUUCUUUCCCCACCCUCUGAGGAAACAGUAUUUUUUCCUGGUAAUUUCUUUCUUUGCUUUAACUUUAUCGUUUUCAUAGAAAUUUCUGUUUCCUUCUGUGACCCUUGUACUGCUCCCUCUGCCCCCGCCACAGGCCAAGAGAUUGGCCCAGGAGGAGCACUAGACCCACCAUAGUCUCUCUGUGGCCUCGCUCUUGGAUUUUUAAGCUCGAAGUCUAAAGCUGUCUUUCUCCUGGUACGGAGAAGAGUAGAAGAAAAAGAUCAACAAUCAGCUUUCCGCAGGAUGGAAUCUGUGCACCUGCCUGGGUCUGAUCCCGGGUUUUCUCUUUACCAGCAGUGUCCUGGACAUGUCAUUACACCUCUCUGUGCCCCGGUUUCUUUAUCCAUAAAAUAGCAUUGCUCUAGCCUUCAAUCAGUUAAUAAUGUAAAGUGCACUGGUCACUGGUGUGCACACCCUGGGCACUCUAUAAAUGUUCAUGGCGCUACAGCAGCUGCAGCAACAGAAGCAGUCAUGGAACUGGGUAGUAUUAUUUUUUUUUUUUGUGGAAAGACAAGGGUGCCAGGGAGCGAGAGAAUCCUGGUGGUGCUCAUGUUUCUUGGUUCAAGUUCAUCUCUAAGUUCUGCUGCAAAUCCCUCCAUCUUGGAGCUUGAUCUUUUAAACUUGCUUAGAUCCUGUGAGUUAAUCUGUGCCCUUUUCUCUUAUCUGGCUGAGCUCUUUCUGAAACUUGCCACCAAAACUCCAAUAACUAAAUGUAUUGAGUACUCUGUACGUUUAAUAUAAAUGCAUUAAUCAUGAAAGAAAUAUCAUAAAUACUCCUGACUGUUAAUUAGAAAUAACAAAGUUUAACAUUUGGACAGUUUUGCUUUGGAUUUACUAGUAAUUAUUAUGACAUAAAAUGCGACAGAUACCCUUGGAGCCCCCUUGGCAUUCCUCAGCCCCGCCUGCCUUCCUGCUUUCCCAGAGAAAACUACUGUCUUGGUGAGCAGCCUUCAUUCCCACAAUUUAUACAUUUACUGCACACACACGUGUAUCAGUAGGUAAUAUAAGGUCUUGAAAUGCAGUAGCUUUGUACUAUGCAGAGCUUAACAUUCUGCAGUUUGCUUUAGCAAUCAACACAUGAAUAAGUCCAGUUUUUCCACUGUAAGUGUGGCAUUUUUUUAUUGUUAUUAAAUAUGACACAAUUUAUCUGUUUCUCUCCUGAUGAACACAGAGGUAUUUUCUCUUACUUAAACACUUUUUUUUUUCUCACAAGUGAUUAGCAUGUUUGUGCAUUUCUUCUUGGGUCCGUGUGAGCAUUGCACUAGAACACACCCUCUAGAGAAGAGGAGUUACAGCUGAUAAGCUUGGGCAUCUUUAUCCUUACCGCCACAUCACCCAAAUCCACACCAUGAGCAGUGCAUGCAGGGUCCCAACAACAUUUGGUAUUGUCACUUACAAAGAACACCAAUGUUUUGGGUGUAUAAUGACAUUUUUUAGUUGUUUCAAUGACAUCUCCUGGAUAAAUGGAAAAGUUGAGGAACUUCUCAUGUGUUUCUUGGUCAUUCAUAUUUUCUUUGCAAAGAAUCAGCACAUGUGACUUUUGCUAAUUUUCCAUGGCAUUUUUUGACCCUUCCUUAUGGAACACUAAGAAUUCUUAUAUUCUGUUUCUAAUCACUAGUCAACUAGAUGACUUCUCCAAGUCUGAAGCUUGUCUUUCACAUUUUUAUGAUGUCUAUGAUUUUAUGAAAAAUUGUAGUCAAAAUUCACAAAAUUGUUUUCUCUAUGGUGCCUUUUGAUGUCUUUUUCAAGAAAUUCUGAAUUACUGAAUUGUGAAUAUAUUCUUCUGUAUUUACUUCUUGUUAAAGUUAUAAUCUUGAUUUUUAUGUGUUAUGUAUUUAUUAAACCUAGAAUUUGUUUUUCUGAGGUGUAAUUUCUUCCUAUAUGCUGAUGAUUUGUAGUAGCACAUUGUGAUAAAGUUUUCCUUUAUUCCUCCAGUUCCUCCAUUGUGAUAUCACCCUUGUUAUUAUUGAGUGUCUCUGUCCUUGACACCCCAUCCCAUUAAUUCCAUGUUUUAUCUACUUAAUUCUGGGUCAUUCUUUAUUGCUAUUGCUUAAGAAUUGUAUCUCAUGGGAAUGUACCCUUAGUAGUUUCUAAAUUUAUCUAUAAAUUCUUUGCCAUUCAUUGCCCAGUGGGGCCUAAUUCCCUUCUCCUUGAUUCUGGGAAGGUUUCAGGGACGAUUUCUAACUAAUGUGACAGAAAUGAUCCCAUGACUUCCAAUACCAAGUCCUAACAAGUGAUACAGCUUCUGGUAGGUGCUCUCCUGGGAUAUUUUCUUUCAGAACUCAGCCACCAUGCUGUGAGGAAGCCCAACAGCCAUCAGAGGGCUCAAUCAUGGAGGUGCAGCCAAAAACCCAGCUGUGGUCCCAGCCAGCAGUCAGCAUCAGCCACUGCAGUGGGGAGAUCUGGCUUCAGGUGACUCUAGUCCUGAGUGACAUCCCUAGCAUCCCCUGGAAGCAGAAGUGAGUCUUCCACUGUGAACUGCUCUGUGUGGAUUUAUGAACAAAAUAAAUCACUGUUGUUAAGCAACUUAGAUUUGAAGUGUUUUAUCA